rnacentral:tRNA from 1 species
UUCGCUCAAUGGCAGAGCACUUGCCUAGCAAGUAUAAGACCCUGGGUUCAAGCCCCAGA